rnacentral:rRNA from 1 species
AACGAACGCUGGCGGCAUGCCUAACACAUGCAAGUCGAACGAGACCUUCGGGUCUAGUGGCGCACGGGUGCGUAACGCGUGGGAACCUGCCCUUAGGUUCGGAAUAACUCCCCGAAAGGGGUGCUAAUACCGGAUAAUGUCUUCGGACCAAAGAUUUAUCGCCUUUGGAUGGGCCCGCGUUGGAUUAGCUAGUUGGUAGGGUAAAAGCCUACCAAGCCGCCGAUCCAUAGCUGGUCUGGGAGGAGGAUCAGCCACACUGGGACUGAGACACGGCCGAGACUCCUACGGGAGGCAGCAGUGGGGAAUAUUGGACAAUGGGCGAAAGACUGAUGCAGCAAUGCCGCGUGAGUGAUGAAGGCCUUAGUGUUGUAAAGCUCUUUUACCCGGGAUUAUAAUGACAGUACCGGGAGAAUAAGCUCCGGCUAACUCCGUG